AUGAAAAUACCAAAAGAAACUCAAAAGAAAGAUGAUAGUGAUGCUUACAACGACUGGUGUCACGGUGAAGAUUGUUGGCUGGAUGGUGUGUUGGUUGUUGUUCGUGAACGGCGGCGACGACUGAAGAAGAGGGAAGAACGAACAGGAACAGUAACGUCGUCGCUGAAUGGUGUGUUGGUUGUUGUUCGUGAACGGCGGCGACGACUGAAGAAGAGGGAAGAACGAACAGGAACAGUAACGGCGACGGCGAGAAACGAACGGUAA